rnacentral:rRNA from 1 species
AGUAACGCGUGGGUAACCUGCCUUAUACUGGGGGAUAACAGCCAGAAAUGACUGCUAAUACCGCAUAAGCGCACAGAACCGCAUGGUUCCGUGUGAAAAACUCCGGUGGUAUAAGAUGGACCCGCGUUGGAUUAGCUAGUUGGCAGGGCAGCGGCCUACCAAGGCGACGAUCCAUAGCCGGCCUGAGAGGGUGAACGGCCACAUUGGGACUGAGACACGGCCCAG